rnacentral:rRNA from 1 species
GACGAACGCUGGCGGCGUGCUUAACACAUGCAAGUCGAACGGAAAGGCCCUGCUUUUGUGGGGUGCUCGAUUGGCGAACGGGUGAGUAACACGUGAGUAUCCUGCCCUUGACUUUGGGAUAACUUCAGGAAACUGGUGCUAAUACCGGAUAGGAGCUCCUGCUGCAUGGUGGUGGUUGGAAAGUUUCGGCGGUUGGGGAUGGACUCGCGGCUUAUCAGCUUGUUGGUGGGGUAGUGGCUUACCAAGGGAUUGACGGGUAGCCGGCCUGAGAGGGUGACCGGCAACAUUGGGACUGAGAUACGGACCAGAGUCCUACGGGAGGCAGAAGUGGGGAAUAUUGCACAAUGGGCGGAAGCCUGAUGCAGCAACGCCGCGUGCGGGAUGACGGCCUUCGGGUUGUAAACCGCUUUCGCCUGUGACGAAGCGUGAGUGACGGUAAUGGGUAAAGAAGCACCGGCUAACUACGUG